CCCUUAGAUGUUCUGGGCCGCACGCGCGCUACACUGACGAAUGCAACGAGCUUAUAACCUUGGCCGAAAGGUCUGGGUAAUCUCCAAAUUUCGUCGUGAUGGGGAUAGAUUAUUGCAAUUAUUAAUCUUCAACGAGGAAUGCCUAGUAAGCGCAAGUCAUCAGCUUGCGUUGAUUACGUCCCUGCCCUUUGUACACACCGCCCGUCGCUCCUACCGAUUGAAUGGUCCGGUGAAGCGUUCGGGACGGCGGCUCGGUCGCUUGCGUCCGACUGCUGAAACUUGAUUAAACCAUAUCAUUUAGAGGAAGGUGAAGUCGUAACA
rnacentral:rRNA from 1 species